rnacentral:rRNA from 1 species
GACGAACGCUGGCGGCGUGCCUAAUACAUGCAAGUAGGCCGCAGUUGCGAACGGGUGAGUAACGCGUAGGUAACUACCUAUUAGAGGGGGCUAACUAUUGGAAACGAUAGCUAAUACCGCAUACUAGUAGCUGGACCUGCGUUGUAUUAGCUAGUAGGUAGGGUAAUGGGCUACCUAGGCAACGGUGCAUAGCCGACCGGGGAGGGUGGUCGGCCACACUGGGACUGGGACACGGGCCAGGCUCCUGCGGGAGGCAGCAGGAGGGAAUCUUCGGCAAUGGGGGGAACGCUGGCCGAGCAACGGCGCGUGAGGGAAGGAGGUUUUCGGAUCGUAAAGCGCUGUUGUUAAGGAAGCGGUACUUAACCAGAAAGGGACGGCUAACUACGUGCCAGCAGCCGCGGUAAUUC